rnacentral:rRNA from 1 species
AUUGAACGCUGGCGGCAGGCCUAACACAUGCAAGUCGAGCGGAUGAAGGGAGCUUGCUCCUGGAUUCAGCGGCGGACGGGUGAGUAAUGCCUAGGAAUCUGCCUGGUAGUGGGGGAUAACGUCCGGAAACGGGCGCUAAUACCGCAUACGUCCUGAGGGAGAAAGUGGGGGAUCUUCGGACCUCACGCUAUCAGAUGAGCCUAGGUCGGGUUAGCUAGUUGGUGGGGUAAAGGCCUACCAAGGCGACGAUCCGUAACUGGUCUGAGAGGAUGAUCAGUCACACUGGAACUGAGACACGGUCCAGACUCCUACGGGAGGCAGCAGUGGGGAAUAUUGGACAAUGGGCGAAAGCCUGAUCCAGCCAUGCCGCGUGUGUGAAGAAGGUCUUCGGAUUGUAAAGCACUUUAAGUUGGGAGGAAGGGCAGUAAGUUAAUACCUUGCUGUUUUGACGUUACCAAAAGAAUAAGCACCGGCUAACUUCGUG